UAGGGAAUCUUCCGCAAUGGACGCAAGUCUGACGGAGCAACGCCGCGUGAGUGAAGAAGGAUUUCGGUUCGUAAAACUCUGUUGUUAGAGAAGAACAGCGCAUAGAGUAACUGUUAUGCGUGUGACGGUAUCUAACCAGAAAGCUCCGGCUAAAUACGUGCCAGCAGCCGCGGUAAUACGUAUGGAGCGAGCGUUGUCCGGAAUUAUUGGGCGUAAAGGGUACGCAGGCGGUUUAAUAAGUCGAAUGUUAAAGAUCGGGGCUCAACCCCGUAAAGCAUUGGAAACUGAUAAACUUGAGUAGUGGAGAGGAAAGUGGAAUUCCUAGUGUAGUGGUGAAAUACGUAGAUAUUAGGAGGAAUACCAGUAGCGAAGGCGACUUUCUGGACACAAACUGACGCUGAGGUACGAAAGCGUGGGGAGCAAACAG
rnacentral:rRNA from 1 species